rnacentral:rRNA from 1 species
GACGAACGCUGGCGGCGUGCUUAACACAUGCAAGUCGAACGGAAAGGCCCCCUCCUUGGUGGGCGUGCUCGUGUGGCGAACGGGUGAGUAACACGUGGGUGAUCUGCCCUGUACUUCGGGAUAAGCUUGGGAAAUUGCGUCUAAUACCGGAUAUGCCCAAGCUUCAGUGUUUCUUGGUGUAAUACUCAUUGUUUUGUUGCCGUAUCAGCUCGCGGCAUAUCAGCUUGUUGGUGGGGGAAUGGACUCCCAAGGCGUGGACGGGUAGCCUGCAUGAGAGGGUGGACGGCCAAACUGGGACUGAGAUACACCCCAGACACCUACGAGAGGCAGCAGGAGGGAAUAUUGCGCAAAGAGCACAAACCUGAUGCAGCGACGCAGCGUGAAGGAUAACAGCCUUCGGGGUGAAAACGCCUUUCGUUAGGGACGAAGCCACGCCUUUGUUGGGAGUGGUGACGGUACCUUUGUAAAGAGGCACCGGCUAACUACGUG